ACAACGGAGAGUUUGAUCCUGGCUCAGGACGAACGCUGGCGGCGUGCUUAACACAUGCAAGUCGAACGAAGUAGCAAUACUUAGUGGCGGACGGGUGCGUAACACGUGACUAACUUGCCCUACACUGUGGAAUAACGGAGGGAAACUUCCGCUAAUACCGCAUGUUGAGCGAAGGUGGCAUCACCUUUUCUUGAAAGAUUUAUCGGUGUAGGAUAGGGUCGCGGCCUAUUAGCUUGUUGGUGGGGUAAUGGCCUACCAAGGCGACGAUGGGUAGCUGGUCUGAGAGGAUGAUCAGCCACACUGGGACUGAGAUACGGCCCAGACUCCUACGGGAGGCAGCAGUGAGGAAUAUUGCGCAAUGGACGAAAGUCUGACGCAGCAACGCCGCGUGAAGGAUGAAGGUGCUCUGCAUUGUAAACUUCUGUAGGGAGGGAAGAACCCCCCGUUAUUGACGGGGCUGACGGUACCUCCAAAGUAAGCACCGGCUAAUUCCGUGCCAGCAGCCGCGGUAAUACGGAAGGUGCAAGCGUUGUCCGGAUUGACUGGGUGUAAAGGGCGCGUAGGCGGAGAGGUGUGUCGGGAGUGAAAUCGUGCGGCUUAACCGUAUCAAUUGCUUUCGAAACUACCUCCCUUGAGUACAGAAGGGGCAGAUGGAAUACCUGGUGUAGCGGUGGAAUGCGUAGAUAUCAGGUAGAACACCGGAGGCGAAGGCGGUCUGCUGGUCUGUAACUGACGCUGAGGCGCGAAAGUGUGGGGAGCAAACAGGAUUAGAUACCCUGGUAGUCCACACCGUAAACGAUGAUCACUAGUCGUCGGAGGAUUCGACCCCUUCGGUGACGGCGCUAACGCAUUAAGUGAUCCACCUGGGGAGUACGCUCGCAAGGGUGAAACUCAAAGGAAUUGACGGGAGCCCGCACAAGCGGUGGAGCAUGUGGUUUAAUUCGAUGCAACGCGAAGAACCUUACCUGGGCUCGAAGUGUAGUGUAAACUCAUGAAAGUGAGGUAUCCCUUCGGGGAGCGCUACAUAGGUGCUGCAUGGCUGUCGUCAGCUCGUGUCGUGAGAUGUUGGGUUAAGUCCCGCAACGAGCGCAACCCUUGUCCUUAGUUGCCAUCAGGUAAAGCUGGGAACUCUAAGGAGACUGCCGGCGUUAAGUCGGAGGAAGGUGGGGAUGACGUCAAGUCCUCAUGGCCCUUACGUCCAGGGCUACACACGUGCUACAAUGGCUGGUACAAUACGUCGCAAGACCGCGAGGUGGAGCUAAUCGUAAAAAACCAGUCUCAGUUCGGAUUGCUCUCUGCAACUCGAGAGCAUGAAGUCGGAAUCGCUAGUAAACGCGAAUCAGCAGGUCGCGUUGAAUACGUUCCCGGGCUUUGUACACACCGCCCGUCACACCAUGGGAGCCGGUAGGACCCGACGAUCCCUCGCCAACCGCAAGGAGGUAAGGAUCUAAGGUAAGCCCGGUGACUGGGGUGAAGUCGUAACAAGGUAGCCGUAUCGGAAGGUGCGGCUGGAUCACCUCCUUU
rnacentral:rRNA from 1 species